rnacentral:rRNA from 1 species
AUACGGGGGGUGCAAGCGUUAUUCGGAAUCACUGGGCGUAAAGGACGCGUAGGCGGGUUGGCAAGUCAGAUGUGAAAUCCUACAGCUUAACUGUAGAACUGCAUUUGAAACUGCUAACCUAGAGUAUGGGAGGGGGAGAUGGAAUUAGUGGUGUAGGGGUAAAAUCCGUAGAUAUCACUAGGAAUACCGAAAGCGAAGGCGAUCUCCUGGAACAUAACUGACGCUAAGGCGUGAAAGCGUGGGGAGCAAACAGGAUUAGAUACCCUAGUAGUCC